UACGAAGGGGGCUAGCGUUGCUCGGAAUUACUGGGCGUAAAGGGAGCGUAGGCGGACAUUUAAGUCAGGGGUGAAAUCCCAGAGCUCAACUCUGGAACUGCCUUUGAUACUGGAUGUCUUGAGUGUGAGAGAGGUAUGUGGAACUCCGAGUGUAGAGGUGAAAUUCGUAGAUAUUCGGAAGAACACCAGUGGCGAAGGCGACAUACUGGCUCAUUACUGACGCUGGAGGC
rnacentral:rRNA from 1 species